ACAAGAUGGCAUCAUGAGUCCGCAUGUUCACAUGAUUAAAGGUAUUCCGGUAGACGAUGGGGAUGCGUUCCAUUAGAUAGUAGGCGGGGUAACGGCCCACCUAGUCUUCGAUGGAUAGGGGUUCUGAGAGGAAGGUCCCCCACAUUGGAACUGAGACACGGUCCAAACUCCUACGGGAGGCAGCAGUGAGGAAUAUUGGUCAAUGGGCGAGAGCCUGAACCAGCCAAGUAGCGUGAAGGAUGACUGCCCUAUGGGUUGUAAACUUCUUUUAUAAAGGAAUAAAGUCGGGUAUGUAUACCCGUUUGCAUGUACUUUAUGAAUAAGGAUCGGCUAACUCCGUGCCAGCAGCCGCGGUAAUACGGAGGAUCCGAGCGUUAUCCGGAUUUAUUGGGUUUAAAGGGAGCGUAGAUGGAUGUUUAAGUCAGUUGUGAAAGUUUGCGGCUCAACCGUAAAAUUGCAGUUGAUACUGGAUAUCUUGAGUGCAGUUGAGGCAGGCGGAAUUCGUGGUGUAGCGGUGAAAUGCUUAGAUAUCACGAAGAACUCCGAUUGCGAAGGCAGCCUGCUAAGCUGCAACUGACAUUGAGGCUCGAAAGUGUGGGUAUCAAACAGGAUUAGAUACCCUGGUAGUCCACACGGUAAACGAGUGAAUACUCGCUGUUUGCGAUAUACUGCAAGCGGCCAAGCGAAAGCGUUAAGUAUUCCACCUGGGGAGUACGCCGGCAACGGUGAAACUCAAAGGAAUUGACGGGGGCCCGCACAAGCGGAGGAACAUGUGGUUUAAUUCGAUGAUACGCGAGGAACCUUACCCGGGCUUAAAUUGCAGAUGAAUUACGGUGAAAGCCGUAAGCCGCAAGGCAUCUGUGAAGGUGCUGCAUGGUUGUCGUCAGCUCGUGCCGUGAGGUGUCGGCUUAAGUGCCAUAACGAGCGCAACCCUUGUUGUCAGUUACUAACAGGUUCCGCUGAGGACUCUGACAAGACUGCCAUCGUAAGAUGUGAGGAAGGUGGGGAUGACGUCAAAUCAGCACGGCCCUUACGUCCGGGGCUACACACGUGUUACAAUGGGGGGUACAGAGGGCCGCUACCACGCGAGUGGAUGCCAAUCCCCAAAACCUCUCUCAGUUCGGACUGGAGUCUGCAACCCGACUCCACGAAGCUGGAUUCGCUAGUAAUCGCGCAUCAGCCACGGCGCGGUGAAUACGUUCCCGGGCC
rnacentral:rRNA from 2 species